ACGAACAUAUCACGUUGAAACACCUGUUCUCACCUGAUCACCUAAGUUAAGCAACAUCGAGUCUGGUCAAUACCUAGAUGGGUUACCACUUGGGAAUACUAGCUGCUGUGA